rnacentral:rRNA from 1 species
UGGGGAAUUUUGCACAAUGGGGGCAACCCUGAUGCAGCGACGCCGCGUGAUUUAGAAGGCCUUCGGGUUGUAAAAAUCUUUUGUAUAGGAAGAAAAUGACAGUACUAUACGAAUAAGGUCCGGCUAAUUACGUGCCAGCAGCCGCGGUAAUACGUAAGGACCGAGCGUUGUCCGGAAUCAUUGGGCGUAAAGGGUACGUAGGCGGUUAAAAAAGUUAGAAGUGAAAGGCUAUAGCUCAACUAUAGUAAGCUUUUAAAACUGUUUAACUUGAGAGAUGGAAGGGAAAGUGGAAUUCCUAGUGUAGCGGUGAAAUGCGCAGGUAUUAGGAGGAAUACCGGUGGCGAAGGCGACUUUCUGGCCAUUAUCUGACGCUGAGGUACGAAAGCGGGGGUAGCAAACAGG